rnacentral:rRNA from 1 species
AGUGAACGCUGGCGGCUUGCCUAGUACACGCAAGUCGAACGCGAAAGUCCUUCGGGAUGAGUAAAGUGGCCCACGGGUGAGUAAUACAUGGGAACAUGCCCUUGGAUGGGGAAUAACGUUUGGAAACGAACGCUAAUACCGCAUAAUCUCGCGAGCGUAAAGGUGGCGCCGCAAGGGCUACCGUCCAAGGAUUGGCCCAUGUCCAAAUAGCUAGUUGGCGGGGUAAUGGCCCACCAAGGCAACGAUGGGUAACUGGUCUGAGAGGAUGAUCAGUCACACUGGAACUGAGACACGGUCCAGACUCCUACGGGAGGCAGCAGUAGGGAAUAUUGCACAAUGGGGGAAACCCUGAUGCAGCAACGCCGCGUGAGUGAAGAAGGCCCUUGGGUUGUAAAGCUCUUUAGCGUGGGAAGAAGGUAGAUAUGGUGAAUAAUCAUGUUUGCUGACGGUACCACGAGAAUAAGCACCGGCUAAUUUCGUGCCAGCAGCCGCCGCAG